GCCAUCAUAGUAUAGUGGUUAGUACACCACGUUGUGGUUCAUUCUUGCAAUUCCGUGGAAACCUCAGUUCGAUUCUGGGUGAUGGCA
rnacentral:tRNA from 2 species